rnacentral:rRNA from 2 species
GGGUUGUGAGGUUAAGUGACUAAGCGUACACGGUGGAUGCCUAGGCAGUCAGAGGCGAUGAAGGGCGUGCUAAUCUGCGAAAAGCGUCGGUAAGGUGAUAUGAACCGUUAUAACCGGCGAUACCCGAAUGGGGAAACCCAGUGUGUUUCGACACACUAUCAUGUCAUGAAUACAUAGUGGCAUGAGGCGAACCGGGGGAACUGAAACAUCUAAGUACCCCGAGGAAAAGAAAUCAACCGAGAUUCCCCCAGUAGCGGCGAGCGAACGGGGAGGAGCCCAGAACCUGAAUCGGCUUGUGUGUUAGUGGAAGCGUCUGGAAAGUCGCGCAGCAAAGGGUGAUAGCCCCGUACACUAAAAUGCACAGGUCGUGAGUUCGAUGAGUAGGGCGGGACACGUGACAUCCUGUCUGAAUAUGGGGGGACCAUCCUCCAAGGCUAAAUACUCCUGACUGACCGAUAGUGAACCAGUACCGUGAGGGAAAGGCGAAAAGAACCCCGGCGAGGGGAGUGAAAUAGAACCUGAAACCGUGUACGUACAAGCAGUGGGAGCACCUUCGUGGUGUGACUGCGUACCUUUUGUAUAAUGGGUCAGCGACUUAUAUUUUGUAGCAAGGUUAACCGUAUAGGGGAGCCGUAGGGAAACCGAGUCUUAACUGGGCGAAUAGUUGCAAGGUAUAGACCCGAAACCCGGUGAUCUAGCCAUGGGCAGGUUGAAGGUUGGGUAACACUAACUGGAGGACCGAACCGACUAAUGUUGAAAAAUUAGCGGAUGACUUGUGGCUGGGGGUGAAAGGCCAAUCAAACCGGGAGAUAGCUGGUUCUCCCCGAAAGCUAUUUAGGUAGCGCCUCGUGAACUCAUCUUCGGGGGUAGAGCACUGUUUCGGCUAGGGGGCCAUCCCGGCUUACCAAACCGAUGCAAACUCCGAAUACCGAAGAAUGUUAUCACGGGAGACACACGGCGGGUGCUAACGUCCGUCGUGAAGAGGGAAACAACCCAGACCGCCAGCUAAGGUCCCAAAGUCAUGGUUAAGUGGGAAACGAUGUGGGAAGGCAUAGACAGCCAGGAUGUUGGCUUAGAAGCAGCCAUCAUUUAAAGAAAGCGUAAUAGCUCACUGGUCGAGUCGGCCUGCGCGGAAGAUGUAACGGGGCUAAACCAUGCACCGAAGCUGCGGCAGCGACGCUUAGGCGUUGUUGGGUAGGGGAGCGUUCUGUAAGCCGUUGAAGGUGGCCUGUGAGGGUUGCUGGAGGUAUCAGAAGUGCGAAUGCUGACAUAAGUAACGAUAAAGCGGGUGAAAAGCCCGCUCGCCGGAAGACCAAGGGUUCCUGUCCAACGUUAAUCGGGGCAGGGUGAGUCGACCCCUAAGGCGAGGCUGAAAAGCGUAGUCGAUGGGAAACAGGUUAAUAUUCCUGUACUUGGUGUUACUGCGAAGGGGGGACGGAGAAGGCUAGGCUAGCCGGGCGACGGUUGUCCCGGUUUAAGCGUGUAGGGGGUGUGACCUGGUAAAUCCGGUUGCAUACUAACCCUGAGGCGUGAUGACGAUGCACUACGGUGCAGAAGUAGUUGAUGCCCUGCUUCCAGGAAAAUCCUCUAAGCAUCAGGUAACAUUAAAUCGUACCCCAAACCGACACAGGUGGUCAGGUAGAGAAUACCAAGGCGCUUGAGAGAACUCGGGUGAAGGAACUAGGCAAAAUGGUGCCGUAACUUCGGGAGAAGGCACGCUGGCAUGUAGGUGAAGUCCCUCGCGGAUGGAGCUGAAGCCAGUCGAAGAUACCAGCUGGCUGCAACUGUUUAAUAAAAACACAGCACUGUGCAAACACGAAAGUGGACGUAUACGGUGUGACGCCUGCCCGGUGCUGGAAGGUUAAUUGAUGGGGUCAGCCGCAAGGCGAAGCUCUUGAUCGAAGCCCCAGUAAACGGCGGCCGUAACUAUAACGGUCCUAAGGUAGCGAAAUUCCUUGUCGGGUAAGUUCCGACCUGCACGAAUGGCGUAAUGAUGGCCAGGCUGUCUCCACCCGAGACUCAGUGAAAUUGAACUCGCUGUGAAGAUGCAGUGUACCCGCGGCAAGACGGAAAGACCCCGUGAACCUUUACUAUAGCUUGACACUGAACAUUGAGCCUUGAUGUGUAGGAUAGGUGGGAGGCUUUGAAGCGUGGACGCCAGUCUGCGUGGAGCCAUCCUUGAAAUACCACCCUUUAAUGUUUGAUGUUCUAACUCGGCCCC